rnacentral:rRNA from 1 species
AGGACGAACGCUGGCGGCGUGCUUAACACAUGCAAGUCGAGCGGAAAGGCCCUUCGGGGUACUCGAGCGGCGAACGGGUGAGUAACACGUGAGCAACCUGCCCUUAGCUCCGGGAGUAGCUCCGGGAAACCGGGAAUUAAAUACCGGAUAUGACCUAGGCCGACAUCGGCUGUGGUGGAAAGUUUUUACGGUCUGGGGAGUGGACGUCGCGGCCUAUCAGCUUGUUGGUGGGGUAAUGGCCUACCAAGGCGACGACGGGUA